UUUUUCAUUCUGUAAUUAUGAAUGGAAAAUUAGAAAAUAUAUAAUAAUAGCUAUUUCAAAACAUGCUUGAAUUGAUUUAUUAAAUGCUAAAUGACAUGGCAGGAAUGAUACUUUUAAAAUAGUGUUUUACCUUGGAUACAUAAGGAUAUAUUUCCUUUAUUUUCAAAUGGAAUCAAAUAAUUUGGGGAUAAAAGUAUUACAAUAAACAAAACGUAAAACUAUAUAAAAAAGAAAGAGCUUCUCCCAUUCACUGGUAACUUAACUGGUACCAACUGAUGGUUGCUAGAGGCCUCAACCAUGAUUAUGGUCCCAAUCAGCUAGGUACCAUAUAGAUAGGAUGGGCCUAACUCUACCUUGGAAAAGUUGCAAUCUAAAGGGUCAGAGAGAAAAAAGUUUGUUAUCCUCAUUUUGAGAGCAGGGCAUCAACAUACAUAAGCAAAGAUCUUCUAAGACAAUUUCAGCAAAAUGGAAAAAAAAAGAAAAUAGACAUUUUAAUUUUGGCCUACCCAGAAAUUAUUAUUAUCGAAUUCAGCCACUGAACUGAAAAAUCAGUUGACCCCCACCACUCUCCAAAGUAUGUCACACUCACGGAGUCACACUCACAGAUUGAUUCAAUUUAUAGCUGCAGCUUCAUAUAAAUACCUUCUUUCCUUUAUUCUGUUCCCCUAGCCUUGGCUUUCUCCCCAUACAACAGUACACAUGUGGGCACAUCUUUCUUUAUCAUGCAGCUGUUGUGACUCCCUGUCAGCCUUAGCACCACUUUAAUUCCCUUCUUUGUCUCUUAAAAUUAGGACAGAGGCUUCUAUUUUAUGUUCCAUCAUAUAUCCCAGGUAAAGAAAAAAAUGUGUGAUUAGAUUUCAGAGAUGAUAAGGGACAACUUUGGGGAACCUUUUUUGUGGAAAUGGGUCUUCCUUUCAUGAGCAGUCCAAUUAAAUACCCAGGGCCUCCUUCUUUGGACAAGAACUAUUUCCAUGAAUAUGGGUUUGCAGAGCCUGAGACAUGAUUAUUACCUAUACCUGGAAACAUGUCCGUGUAGUGAGCAGUGGAGGACUCCAGUUAGCAUUACUUAGAAGAAGCAAAUGUACCAGUAAUUGUGCAAAGCCUGAAGUGCCUCCUGAUUGAGGAGAAUACUCUGUGGAGGACUCUAUGAAGUUCACUUCCAGGAGUUUCCUUGUGGCACAUCUAACUCAUGGGGCCAAGUGAGCUGUCCGCAUGGUUUCAGAAUACAAUUGGCUCUACUGUAUAAAAUAACCAGGGAAAUUGAUGGAGCUCUUCUGAUUUACACCAGCACAGGGGGAAACCAGUACUGCAGCUAAUUCCAGGCUUAUUUCUUGGCUUGGUGACUCACAGCAGAACCAGACCGGCCAGCCCAGGACAUGUGCUCCCAAUGGAAUGAAUGGUUGCCUCAGUCCCUGCUCUCUGUCUAACAAGGGAGGAUGCGGCACAAGAGCCAACCACCAUUUAUGCCACAGAAGUGAUUUUAGGUCAUUAUUUUUACCAGUGGAAUGCAAAAACAGAGGAGGGGGGAUGGUUUUAUGAUUAAAAGACUGGUCUCAAACUUA